rnacentral:rRNA from 1 species
UGGGGAAUCUUGCACAAUGGGGGCAACCCUGAUGCAGCGACGCCGCGUGAGCGAUGAAGCCCUUCGGGGCGUAAAGCUCUUUCGACCGGAACGAUAAUGACGGUACCGGGAGAAGAAGCUGCGGCUAACUACGUGCCAGCAGCCGCGGUAAUACGUAGGGGGCAAGCGUUGUCCGGAUUUACUGGGUGUAAAGGGCGCGCAGGCGGGAUAAAAAGUCAGUGGUGAAAUCCUACAGCUUAACUGUAGAACUGCCUUUGAUGCUUUUAUUCUUGAGUUCGGGAGAGAGAGACGGAAUUCCAGGUGUAGUGGUGAAAUACGUAGAUAUCUGGAAGAACACCAGUUGCGAAGGCGGUCUCUUGAUCCGACACUGACGCUGAGGCGCGAAAGCGUGGGGAGCAAACA